rnacentral:rRNA from 1 species
UACGUAGGCAGCAAGCGUUGUUCGGAAUUACUGGGCGUAAAGGGUGCGUAGGCGGUCUCGCAAGUUUGGUGUGAAAUCUCCCGGCUUAACUGGGAGGGUGCGCCGAAAACUGCGAGGCUAGAGUGCGGGAGAGGAGAGUGGAAUUCCUGGUGUAGCGGUGAAAUGCGUAGAUAUCAGGAGGAACACCUGUGGUGUAGACGGCUCUCUGGACCGCAACUGACGCUGAUGCACGAAAGCGUGGGGAGCAAAC